CUUUCUCUAUAAAGAUGAAAAAACUCUGAGUUCAAAAAUGGUUUCUCCAAAGUACUUGUACCUAAACUUUUCCUUUCACUUACAUUCAUAAAUUUGUAUUUGUGAAUAAGUUUAAGAGUCAUAAGGUUCAAAAUUCUCAAAAUAUUAAAAGGCAGUAUGGUGAAAAGUAUCACUCCCACCAUCACUCAUCCCUACUUUUCACCCUUACUCCAGGCAAAGAAUGUUAUUAAGUUUCUGGGAAUCCUUUUAGAGAAUUUUAUACAUGCACACAUAUACACACACAUAAAAAUAUGUAAUUUACUUAUAGGCUAAAUUUCUAGAAGUUGAUUUGCUAAGCCAGUAGCAGAUCAUUAGGAUGGGUCAACAGACAUGUACACAUGUAAUUUUGCCUGAUAGUGUUAUAUCAUUCUACACAAGUCUUGAUCCAAUUUAUAGUCUCAUCAGCAACGUAAGAGAAUUCCUAUUUACUCACACUCUCACUAAUGCAGUAUGUUUUUUAACUUUUUGAUCUUUGCUAUAUUGAAAAAAUAAAAACUGGCAUUUCAGUGAAAGGUUAAAGUAACGUUUAUUUUACUAUAAAUGAAAUCAAGCUCUUAUGUGUAAGAGUCUAUUUCCUGAGAAACUCUCUGUUCAUAUUCUUUGUCCAUUUUCCUAUUGUGUUAUGGUCUUUCUCUUAUCAAUUUGUUGGCAUUCUUCACAUCAUAUGGAAUUAACCAUUAUUUAGAAUGAGCUGAAAAUAUUUUUCCCAGUUUCUCAUUUGUCUUUGCUUUUGGAUUUUGCCACGUAUAAUUUUUUUUAAGUGAGAUUGAAUUUAUUGACCUUUUAUUCUUUAUUAUUAAACAUAUAAUUCUCACAAAGUUUCUUCUACUGUUUAAUUUCUUCCAUUCAUAUCUUUGAUAUAUUUAGAUUUAUUAUGUGUAAAGUAUGGGGUAUAUAUAAAACUUUAUUUUUUUCAAAAUGGCUACAUGAUUAUCCCAACACCAUUUGCUGAAUUACCUAUCUUUCCCUCUGUUAAUCUGAUGUAACAGCACCUUUCAUACACCAUUAAAUUCCCAACUGUAGGCACAUCACUUCAAGUUACAUUUGCAAGGAUAUGAACUAUAAAUAAAAGAAAACACAUACACACUGCAGUCUAUACUGUUAUCAUCAUAUAAAACUUUAGGCCACCUAAAUGUAUUGGGUACUUCAUUUUAUUCUUAAAAGGUUUAUUAGAAAGCUUGUUUCAAUAAUCUAUUCAGCAAAUUUAAAAAAUACAAUAGUGGCUACUAACAUUUAUUGAGUGCCUUACUGUAUGCCAAACACUGUUCCAAGAUCUUCAACUGAUUUGGAUUUAUUAGGUGGUUACAUUAAGCCAGUUUCAAACAAGGAAACUAAAGCAUAAAGAAACUAAGUAACUUUCCCAAGUUCAUACAGUGUUAUAGCAAGUUACAGAGAUUUAGGCAGUCUAGCUCCAAAGACUACGUUCUUAGCUAUUACACUAUGCUGAUUCUUUAAAUCUAUUUUCUUUCUACUAAAAUUUCAUCAUUACUCAUCUUUGCUGGAUCUAAAAAGCAACCUGCAUAUUUACAUUAAGUUAAAGUCUACAGAAAAACAAACACGCUUCCUUCCUAUCUUUGGUAAUAAGAUGACUUUUUAGAUGAAGUGUUAAUUCCUUUUAUUUUUAUUUGUGGCUCCACUGUGUUUUGAGUUAAUUAUAUUUUAUUGUGGAACAAUCCCAGAUCCUUUUUGAGUAUCGACUGCUCUACCAGUUUGUAAAUACAUUAAAUAUUCUGCCUUUUAAAAAUUCCUUACAAAUUUAACUAUAAUUCCAGUGCAUCUUCUAUAAACUGCUGCAGUGUAUAUAAUGUCUUAAUAUAUAUUUCAUAAUUUUGAUUUAAAAAAUGUACAAAAUAAAAUUCAUAACAAAGUCUUAUUAACAUAUUGAAAUGUAUGUGAUUACUGACCAGGUUAUCCCUGCUGGUGUAAUGGACCAUCCACCCUUCCUUCACCAUUGUGCUGCUCUUCCUCUUUGUGUGCUUGAUGGAUUGUACAACCCUCAUUAGCGGAAUAUUAUUGCUUGUUGAUGGACUACAAAAUAUUUAAAAUUUAUAAAUAUAUGUGUAGAGUUUUAAAAAUCAUAUAAAUAUUGUAGAAACAUGAAGGCUUUUUAAAGAUAAUUGAGCUAAAUUUUUUCAAAAUCUCUUAGUAAAAUAAACAAUGGCUUAAGAAGAAAAAUUAAUCCUGUAUGAGAAUACAUAAUUGAUUCUGUUUUAAGAUAAUACCGUAAAUCCUCUUUACUUGUCAUGAAUGUUUUCUGAAGGGUAACACAAAAAAAUUAAAAACAAUAAGCAGAGCAGAAAGGACCCUUCCAAACUGGAAUAUUUGGAGCCCAGGAGAGGGUCUCAUUUGGGUUUGCUGUUGAAGUUUUCCUGCCCUGGACAGCAUGACAGACUAGCAAAUCCAUAACAAGGCAAAACGCAAGUAUAUGUAACUCAAAUGUCAAAUCCAGUUAAUCAUGUUGUUAGCAAAAUGUAUUUCUAUUAGAAGAUAUUUAAAGGAAAAUGAUUUACAGACACUAAGAAAUGUAAUGAGUCAAAUUAGGUAGCAGUGCAACAUGGCUCAGUAACUACAGUUUGGAGUAUAUGUAUAAAAUACACUGUUUUGAAAUUUGAGCCUCAAACAGUUAAAUACUUUUAAACUAUGAAGUAAACUAGCUAGGUUCUGCAACAGUCUCCAAAAUGGGUAGACAAAAUUUUUGUUAAUAAUGCUAAUCAUAGUAAGAACUGUUAUUUGAUGAUAAGCCAAUCAGAAUAAGUGAUAACUGAGCCAUCUGAGAUUGAUAAAUGACUCAUUUUCUUUAAGUAACUCUUUUUUCCAGUGAAAAACAAAACCUGCCAAAAUGGGGAUAUUUUGCUGCAAGGUAGUAUAUCCUCUAGGCUACAAAAAAUUGAAUUUCUAUGAACAGAGUAGCAUAUUUAGAAUGGUUUUGUAGUCUAACAUUUUUACAAAAUGCUAAUACUUGGAUUAACUGUGGCAUUAUGAAAACUGCCCUCUUCAUCAUCACUAUUUUUGUGCAACAUUUUCAUAAAUAUAUUCUUUAUUGCUGUUUCUCCUAUCAGUUAAAGCUGUCUGUGUGAAAAAUGGGUUGCUUUAACUGAAAGUUCAAUACUGACACCUUGCAGUGGCUGUUCCACAACUAGGUUUUAAAUGUAGACCAUACUUUAAAAGAGCAUUUUUCUUUAAAAA